rnacentral:rRNA from 1 species
GACGAACGCUGGCGGCGUGCCUAAUACAUGCAAGUAGGACGCAGAUGCGAAAGGGUGAGUAAAGCGUAGGUAACUGCCUAUGAGAGGGGGGUAACUAUUGGAAACGAUAGCUAAUACCGAAUACUAGUAGCUGGACCUGCGUUGUAUUAGCUAGUAGGGAGGGUAAUGGGCUACCUAGGCGAUGCUACAUAGCCGACCUGAGAGGGUGAUCGGCCACACUGGGAAUGGGACACGGCCCAGACUCCUACGGGAGGCAGCAGUAGGGAAUCUUCGGCAAUGGGGGGAACCCUGACCGAGCAACGCCGCGUGAGUGAAGAAGGUUUUCGGGUCGUAAAGCUCUGUUGUUCAGGAAGCGGUACUUAACCAGAAAGGGACGGCUAACUACGUGCCAGCAGCCGCGGUAAUUC